rnacentral:rRNA from 1 species
CCCUUAGAUGUUCUGGGCCGCACGCGCGCUACACUGACGAAUGCAACGAGCUUAUAACCUUGGCCGAAAGGUCUGGGUAAUCUCCAAAUUUCGUCGUGAUGGGGAUAGAUUAUUGCAAUUAUUAAUCUUCAACGAGGAAUGCCUAGUAAGCGCAAGUCAUCAGCUUGCGUCGAUUACGUCCCUGCCCUUUGUACACACCGCCCGUCGCUCCUACCGAUUGAAUGGUCCGGUGAAGCGCUCGGACCGCGGCCUCUUGACGGUUCGCUGUCGAUUGGCUGUGGGAAGUUCGUUAAACCUUAUCAUUUAGAGGAAGGAGAAGUCGUAACA